rnacentral:rRNA from 1 species
CCUACGGGAGGCAGCAGUGAGGAAUAUUGGUCAAUGGGCGCAAGUCUGAACCAGCCAAGCCGCGUGCAGGAAGACGGCCCUAUGAGUUGUAAACUGCUUUUGUACGAGGGUAAACCACGAUACGUGUAGCGGGUUGAAAGUAUCGGACGAAUAAGGAUCGGCUAACUCCGUGCCAGCAGCCGCGGUAAUACGGAGGAUGCGAGCGUUAUCCGGAUUUGUUGGGUUUAAAGGGUGCGUAGGCGGUUUGAUAAGUUAGAGGUGAAAUGUCGGGGCUCAACCCCGUAACUGCCGUUAAUACUGUUGGACUAGAGAAGAGUUGAGGUAGGCGGAAUGUAUGGUGUAGCGGUGAAAUGCUUAGAGAUCACACAGAACACCGAUUGCGAAGGCAGCUUACCAAACUACAUCUGACGUUGAGGCACGAAAGCGUGGGUAGCAAACAGGAUUAGAUACCCCGGUAGUC